CCACAUCUUAGCUCCCCAGAGGCAACAGGAAGGAAAGUAACCAACACACAGGCAGGGUAUCAAUCAACUAAUUAACAACCAUUGUCCAGCAAGGGAGCUACAAUGCAGUGACUCACCUGCAUGAGGCCACACUAGGGGAAUUUCUCAACCUUGCCUGGAAAUUCAGCAAUGCCCCCAGACAUGCCUGGACUUAUGUUUUCCAAGCACAUGGACUCAGGGUAUAAA